CCUACGGGUGGCAGCAGUGGGGAAUAUUGGACAAUGGGGGGAACCCUGAUCCAGCCAUGCCGCGUGUGUGAAGAAGGCCCUCGGGUUGUAAAGCACUUUCAGUGAGGAAGAACGCCUGGUGGUUAAUACCCAUCAGGAAAGACAUCACUCACAGAAGAAGCACCGGCUAACUCCGUGCCAGCAGCCGCGGUAAUACGGAGGGUGCGAGCGUUAAUCGGAAUUACUGGGCGUAAAGCGCGCGUAGGUGGCUUGAUAAGCCGGUUGUGAAAGCCCCGGGCUCAACCUGGGAACGGCAUCCGGAACUGUCAAGCUAGAGUGCAGGAGAGGAAGGUAGAAUUCCCGGUGUAGCGGUGAAAUGCGUAGAGAUCGGGAGGAAUACCAGUGGCGAAGGCGGCCUUCUGGACUGACACUGACACUGAGGUGCGAAAGCGUGGGAAGCAAACAGGAUUAGAUACCCCUGUAGUC
rnacentral:rRNA from 1 species